CACCCGUCCACAAUCUCCUGGUCUUUCUUUGUCUGGUUGUUCUUCUGUCACCCGUCCACAAUCUCCUGGUCUUUCUUUGUCUCCAUUUCCCCAACUCUUUUCCUUUUUCUAUUCCUACACUCCCCUCUCUCUUUUCCCUCUUCGGUAUGUUGUUGCGUCUCUCUCGUCCCAUAUAGUCCACAGUGCAAGGCUGUCCUGUACUGUUCUGACCAGUGUUCCCAGGCCGACCAGAUCCGCUGUCCAGAGGAUGCCAGUCACCAGCACUGGUGUGAAAAACUGUCCUGCUACAUGAGCCACGACUCACAGCUUGCCGAGCUGCCAUUCAGCUACGCGGCAGAGGUGACAGCUGUUGAUUUCGACCUGGAACACUUCCUGAAUAAGAAUAAACUGGACAGUGGCUACUGGGUACACUGGAGCCUCCUGGUACGCUCCCCCAGAUAUGAGCUCCAUCCCACAGUGGAACAGUCCAGAGAUCAAUACCCCCACUGGUUCACAGGUCACAGUGAGCCCUUUGGACCCCUGAAAAGGGAAGGAGACAUCCUGCUCUGUAGCCCAG